GCUGAUUGGGAUACUCUUCAAAUUUUUAUGAAAUCCCGAGUAAGCAACCCAUUUUGCCAAUGGCGGGCCUCAACCGAAAGGUGUAUCUGCGGAUACCGGAGGAUUACAAAGGUGUGGGUGCCCUCAAAUCCUGUAUUUAUCGGAGUUUCAUCACAUCCCUUUGGUGUGGCUUUUUU
rnacentral:sRNA from 1 species